GAUGAACGCUGACAGAAUGCUUAACACAUGCAAGUCUACUUGAACUUCGGUUUGGGUGGCGGACGGGUGAGUCACGCGUAAAGAACUUGCCUCACAGUUAGGGACAACAUUUGGAAACGAAUGCUAAUACCUGAUAUUAUGAUUUUAGGGCAUCCUAGGAUUAUGAAAGCUAUAUGUGCUGUAAGAGAGCUUUGCGUCCCAUUAGCUAGUUGGAGAGGUAACGGCUCACCAAGGCGAUGAUGGGUAGCCGGCCUGAGAGGGUGAACGGCCACAAGGGGACUGAGACACGGCCCUUACUCCUACGGGAGGCAGCAGUGGGGAAUAUUGGACAAUGGACCAAAAGUCUGAUCCAGCAAUUCUGUGUGCACGAUGACGUUUUUCGGAAUGUAAAGUGCUUUCAGUUGGGAAGAAAAAAAUGACGGUACCAACAGAAGAAGUGACGGCUAAAUACGUG
rnacentral:rRNA from 1 species